UUCAAUCCACCCAUUUCUUAUCUUGUCUGUAGCUUACAAUGUUUGGUCAGGGACUGGGACAGAACAAAAGCAUCAAGGGGUGAGCAAAAAGACAUACAGCCUGCAUGGCCAGUGGAGUAAUGCUUCCAGCACCAGUAAGGUCUCAAACCAAGUGGGAUGUUCACUGUAAAGAAACGUGUCUUCUCUGCACCAACUGCAGAAAGUCCAUAGGACUGCAGCUUGAAUGCCCAGGGACCCACAGAAAUGAGAGCUGGAAGGAGCUGGGAUUCUCAGCCUAGAAAAAGUCUGAGAAAGAAACACAGCAGCAGUUCUGCAUACAGUGCAUUUGAAUCAUCUUUCAAGCAUCUAAUCAAGCAUGAAUUACCUUACUGCAGGUACAAGCAGUGGAGAAAUUAUGUGGUAGUAGUAUCUGCUCCUGAAGCCCGUAAGUGGAGGAAGCCAGUUUAAGGAGAUCACCAGAGCUGUCAGGCACACAAAAGUCAGUAAAUCCAAAGAGCUGCCUGGGGAAGGAAAGGAAGGAUGUCCAAAACCAAUCACAGAAAUCUUCAGCUUGUUGGUGUGCACUCUCUGUCUCACUCUUUAGGAAUGGCUGUUCCCCAUCCCUGAUGCCUUCAUCUGAUGAGUCAGAUGAGGCUGAUGCUAACCACCUUUCAAGAGGGCAAGCCAUUAGGCUGAGAUGGAGGUAGUCUCAGGAAAUUGAAAACUUCUGCCCUGCUAUGUAGUAUGAAAAACUCAGGGUCAUUUUUUUCCCCUAAUUUUUUGUUAGAUUAAAACUAUUCCACACAAAACUUGGUUAUUCUGGAGUUUAGGGUUGGAAAUCAAACUAGAAGUCUAGCUAGGGAGUUUUGCCAGACUUUGUGUAUUUCCUUCUUUAUACAUUCUGGACUUUAUUUCAGUUAAAUGUUUGUAAGAUCAAACUUCCGUGCUAUCUGUAAAUCAAAAUGCUAUUUGUGGCCUCAAGUUUGGAAAGCCAUUUAACUGGUUCUGUGACUAAAUCACUGUCAUCUCCAUCUUGAUUUAAUCUCUUUCAUAAUGGCAUUAAGAACUGCAGUACAGAGAGGCAGAUCUUAAGUCUGCUGCAUGAAAUGUGCUACUUGUACAGACAUGCUGAGUUUUUGCCAGUUAAAAACAUGCUUCACCACCCCUCUGAUUUUUUUAUGUCUUCUGCACUCUAAUUACAUGAGCUAGUAAACUUACAUGUGUACAUAUCUCUAGGUUUACAUGGUAAGUGACCAAUGGAGAACAUAGAUUGAUCGUCCUCAGUGUGUAAUCAGCUUAAUAGUGAAUUUAGAAAGUGCAUUCAACAUCAAAGAUGUAGGGCCACUUAGACCCUACAUGCACGGUCAUUAUAGUUUAGGAGGAAAACAUUCUAAUGUGUUUGAUCAGUAAUGAGAGGUAAUUGCUAAAUAUGAAUUAGUAAAGUUACCUUAGAAUAAGUUUUCUGAGGACAUCAAAAAUAGAGCAAACAAAGGGUGUGUCUAGGGGUUUGUUAAAGCAUUCAUGUCACCUAGUUAAUGUUUGGGUGUCUUUUGAGAAGUUUUAGUUCUGCCUUUCCUCAGCAAUGUAUUUUAUUAUCAAAUUCUUGUGAAAGUAGGAAAUUGUAUAUAUUAAAGCACAGGAAAUCAAGGGAGGAAGGCGGUGUUACACAACUCUAAAUAAAAGGUAAAUUAACAUGUUCAGCCACGUAAUUACAAGGGGAAGAGGACCUUGCUCUUUAAGCAGCAAAAGCAUAAUGAAACACUUGUAGCUUUAUUUCUUAUGUGUAGCUCAGUUAUACCCCUUAGUGUGGAUGCUUGACAGCUGUUUACUUUCUUGAUUAAAGUCUGACUAUAGGGGUGAGCUGGGCUUUUUUCAUCCUCACUAGAAAGAAAGGCAACAUCUUUUGAAUAGACUACAUGAAUAUGCAGAAUAUGUCAGGGCGUUUGUAUUGCUGAGCACAUGUUGCAGGAUGAGAGUAUGGGAGAGACUGAGAAUAAAAGACUAGAAAAAAUAAAGAUAAAAGGGAAAAUAAGGGCAAAAGGAAAAAAAAAUAGAGAAUAUUAUCUGGAAAAGUUAGGAGAGAAGUGUGAAAUAAAGCAUAGAAGCAGAAAUAAUUGCUUCCCACAAAAAGUAUCACAGAGUCACAUAAUUCCCAGGCUGGAAGGGACACCUAGGGGUGUCUCCCACACGAGCAGGGUCACCCCAAGCUGUGUGUCCAGGAGUGCCCAGCCAACAGAGAAAAGCAACCCUUUUUUCAUGGCUGGGAUUUUGUACCAACUGCUCAGUGAUCCCAUCACUACACACAAGAAGAAAAUAAGGGGCAGAUUUUUUUUGGUCCAGCUCUUAUUGCAGUCAUGAUUGCUAUGUGUAGCUGAAGGAAAGGGACGCAAAUAAAUGGGCUAGGUAAAUGAAGGACCAGCAAUGUAAAAGUAUGUUUUCUUGGUGUUUUUUGUUUGUUUGUUU